rnacentral:lncRNA from 1 species
CUCACAUAUGGCAUUGUAAUUUUCUGAGCUAUAUUAUUGAUAUCAAAACUCAGUACAAAUAUUAUAUGUUGAAAGCAAUAAUACCAGAAUAUAAAUUCAUGUUGCUUCUAAGCAUACUCUUGUCUAGCUUUACAUUCUAAGAAUCUCACCUAUUUUAAGGUUUAUUUAUUAAUUCAUUCUCUCCUGAUAUCUACAUACGGAAAAGAGACGCGGGCGAAAAGUAUCAAGUAUGCUAUUUUCAGAGGGCCAGAGGAAAACCAGAAUAAUCUUGGAAAAUUUUAGUUACAAAGAGGAUUAUUGAAGAUCACUGGAGAAGGCAAUGAUUAAUCCAAAAUUAGCCCUGAGCUAACAUCCACCACCAGUCCUCCUCUUCUUGCUGAGGAAGACCGGCCGUGAGCUAACAUCCAUGCCCAUCUUCCUCUAUUUUAUAUGUGGGACGCCUGCCAGAGCAUGGUUUGACAAGCGGUACAUAUGUCUGCGCCUGGGAUCUGAACCGGUAAACCUCAGACUGCUGAAGCAGAACAUGCGAACUUAACCACUGCACCACCGAG